rnacentral:rRNA from 1 species
UACGAAGGGGGCUAGCGUUGCUCGGAAUCACUGGGCGUAAAGCGCACGUAGGCGGGUCCUUAAGUCGGGGGUGAAAUCCCGGAGCUCAACUCCGGAACUGCCUUUGAUACUGGGGAUCUUGAGUCCGGAAGAGGUGAGUGGAACUCCGAGUGUAGAGGUGAAAUUCGUAGAUAUUCGGAAGAACACCAGUGGCGAAGGCGGCUCACUGGUCCGGUACUGACGCUGAGGUGCGAAAGCGUGGGGAGCAAACAGG